UCUGGUGCGCUCAUGACAGCCCGUGAAAAUCCAAGGGACACGCCUGGUCCGCAAGGACCUGGUCAUCUUCGACGCUGGUCGUACUCAUAACCGCAGCAGGUCUCCAAGGUGAACAGCCUCUAGUUGAUAGAACAAUGUGGGUAAGGGAAGUCGGCAAAACGGAUCCGUAACUUUGGGAUAAGGAUUGGCUCUAAGGGUUGAGCUGGAUCGGGCUUGGACAAGAUGGUCGGGCGCCUGGGGCGAGGAGCUGGAAACGGCAUCUUGCUCGGGGGCCCUUCCGUGACGGUCCAGGCGUCGGGGGGUCGACGGGGAGCGGGGCGCACGCGCAAGUGUACCCCCGUCCCCGUAGGUGCCUCGAUCUUCGCUGGCCAGCAAUCAACACCGACUUAGAACUGUCACGGACCACGGGAAUCUGACUGUCUAAUUAAAACAUAGCAUUGCGAUGGCCUUAACAAGGUGUUGACGCAAUGUGAUUUCUGCCCAGUGCUCUGAAUGUCUAAAGUGAAGAAUUCAACCAAGCGCGGGUAAACGG
rnacentral:rRNA from 1 species